AUUGAACGCUGGCGGCAUGCCUUACACAUGCAAGUCGAACGGCAGCACGGGUGCUUGCACCUGGUGGCGAGUGGCGAACGGGUGAGUAAUACAUCGGCACGUACCUUAUCGUGGGGGAUAACGCAGCGAAAGCUGUGCUAAUACCGCAUACGCCCUGAGGGGGAAAGCGGGGGAUCGCAAGACCUCGCGCGAUUAGAGCGGCCGAUGCCUGAUUAGCUAGUUGGUGGGGUAAAAGCCCACCAAGGCGUCGAUCAGUAGCUGGUCUGAGAGGACGAUCAGCCACACUGGGACUGAGACACGGCCCAGACUCCUACGGGAGGCAGCAGUGGGGAAUUUUGGACAAUGGGGGCAACCCUGAUCCAGCAAUGCCGCGUGAGUGAAGAAGGCCUUCGGGUUGUAAAGCUCUUUUGUCAGGGAAGAAACACCGGCUCUAACACAGUCCGGGAAUGACGGUACCUGAAGAAUAAGCACCGGCUAACUACGUGCCAGCCGCCGCCGUAA
rnacentral:rRNA from 1 species